GCUGGGUGUGGUGGUGCAUGCCUGUAGUCCCAGCUACUCAGGAGGCUGAGGUAGGAGGAUUGCUUGAGUUCAGGAGGUCAAGGCUGCAGUGAGCCGUGAUGGUGCCACUGCACUCCAGCCUGGGUGACAGAGUUAGACCUUGUCUCAC
rnacentral:SRP_RNA from 2 species